CUUAUAGCAUGGCACAGCAUCGAUUUGCAAACAAUAAUGCUCGGCUAAUAACUGCAGCCUAUAUAGUUUACCGUUCUUCCAAUCCCGAUGGGUCUCGCCUCCACUCCCUGUCCAGCGAUUCGGGGACAUUUUCCGCAUUCUGAGCAUCCGCCUCGUACAUGUAUGGUCCUCUUCCUCCAACUCCUCAAACACCUGGAUCCCCUCAGAUAUGUUUGAAACGAUGCUUUCCGAAUCAGUUUAUGACUGACUUUGUGCACUUUCCAUAAUGAUCCCCGCUAAUGUUGUCUUCAAGUGACGUCACACUUUCGGGUUUGAUGCUCAUCAGGAUCUCAUUUUGGGUAAGCGAUUACUUCGUCAAAUUUACGAAAUAGAAAUAGUUUUUUCAUGCUUUAUUUUGUGUAUUUUGUUUUGUUGCUUUGGC